CAGAUUUACAGCUAGUGAGAGCCAGGUGGAGGAACUGAAGAGAGACAAUGCAGCCCUGGAGACCAGACUGAGCGUCAGUGAGAGGCUGGGAGAGGAGCUGAAGAGAGAGAAUGCAGCACAAGCAGCAGCACUGUCAGCCAUGGGAGCCAGAGUGACAGCCAGUGAGAGCCAGGUAGAGGUGCUGAAGACAGCAUUAUAUAAUAUGAAUAUAUGGCUUACAAAUAAGUUUAGGUAACUGUUUGAUGUGUUGUCUUUAUGUCAGCAGAACUGUCAGCCUUGGGGAGCCAGGUGAAGGUGCUGAAGAGACA
ensembl:lncRNA